UACGGAUGAUGCAAGCGUUAUCCGGAAUGAUUGGGCGUAAAGCGUCCGCAGGUGGCUGUGUAAGUCUGCUGUUAAAGAGUGAGGCUCAACCUCAUAAAGGCAGUGGAAACUACAUGGCUAGAGUGCGUUCGGGGCAGAGGGAAUUCCUGGUGUAGCGGUGAAAUGCGUAGAGAUCAGGAAGAACACCGGUGGCGAAGGCGCUCUGCUAGGCCGCAACUGACACUGAGGGACGAAAGCUAGGGGAGCGAAUGGG
rnacentral:rRNA from 1 species